AGAGAUAUGGCUCUGUGGUAGAGUGCUUGCCUAGCAUGUAUGAGGCUCUAGGUUUGAUUUCCUAGUACCACAA
rnacentral:tRNA from 1 species